AUUCCUAUUCCUAUUGUUUUAAUGAUCUUUUCGUGCAUUCCAGGGUUUUCGUCAUCUGGUACAGUCCUGACAAAAUUGGGAAGUGAAUUGAGGCAUUCUGGGAGCAAUGGCCAAUUUUAGCAACAUGUAAAUUGAAGCCAACCCCACCCGGAGCGCACUAGUUCUUUUUC